rnacentral:rRNA from 1 species
GGGUUAAGUCCCGCAACGAGCGCAACCCUUGUUCUGUGUUGCCAGCAUGCCCUUCGGGGUGAUGGGGACUCACAGGAGACUGCCGGGGUCAACUCGGAGGAAGGUGGGGACGACGUCAAGUCAUCAU